rnacentral:tRNA from 1 species
GGGUUAAGUUUACAGAUGGUUCUGUAGUGGACUUGCAAAGUCUUUUUUUAGGGUUCAAUUCCUUCUUAACUCU